rnacentral:rRNA from 1 species
AGAUAUAGUGGAGGUUACCAUGGAGACAGGUGGUGCAUGGUUGUCGUCAGCUCGUGUCGUGAGAUGUUGGGUUAAGUCCCGCAACGAGCGCAACCCUUAUUGCUAGUUACCAUCAUUAAGUUGGGGACUCUAGCGAGACUGCCAGUGAUAAACUGGAGGAGUGGGAUGACGUCAAGUCCUCAUGGCCUUUAUGGCCAGGGCUACACACGUACUACAAUGGCCGGUACAAAGGGCAGCGACAUUGCGAGAUGGAGCGAAUCCCGAAAAGCCGGUCUCAGUCCGGAUUGGAGUCUGCAACUCGACUCCAUGAAGUUGGAAUCGCUAGUAAUCGUGGAUCAGCAUGCCACGGUGAAUACGUUCCCGGGCCUU